GAUGAACGCUGGCGGCGUGCCUAAUACAUGCAAGUAGAACGCUGAAGGAGGAGCUUGCUCUUCUGGAUGAGUUGCGAACGGGUGAGUAACGCGUAGGUAACCUGCCUGGUAGCGGGGGAUAACUAUUGGAAACGAUAGCUAAUACCGCAUGACAACAGUUAUUGCAUGAUAACUGUUUAAAAGGGGCAACUGCUCCACUACCAGAUGGACCUGCGUUGUAUUAGCUAGUUGGUGAGGUAACGGCUCACCAAGGCGACGAUACAUAGCCGACCUGAGAGGGUGGUCGGCCACACUGGGACUGGGACACGGCCCAGGCUCCUACGGGGGGCAGCAGUAGGGGAUCUUCGGCAAUGGACGGAAGUCUGACCGAGCAACGCCGCGUGAGGGAAGAAGGUUUUCGGAUCGUAAAGCUCUGUUGUGAGAGAAGAACGAGUGUGAGAGUGGAAAGUUCACACUGUGACGUUAUCUUACCAGAAAGGGACGGCUAACUACGUG
rnacentral:rRNA from 1 species